ACAACCUAUUUUAUUUUUGUGGCUCCCACGUACAAGCCUGGGCUAAUACGUACAAGAUACGUACAAGUCUGGGCUUAUGAGUGAAGAUGACUAAUGAAAUGAAAAACACUGCGGACCAUCGACGAGCAUGUGGCUUAAACCGUUCUGCUACCACGUGCAGGUGCUUGCUCAUGGCCUGGCCGGAUCAGCGAUACCAUAACUGCCGCAGCCUGACCAGUCUUCAAGAAAUGCGAUCGACCAUCCUUAUCUACCAAACUUUGCCACGUGCACUUGGACCACAACUACAACACCAAUGCCACGUCACUGCUUUCAUGACGCCAAUCCUUCACUGUUUUGUUACGUGUCACUCGAGGCGCCACCUAUUCUUCACAUGCCGUCGACGCAUCGGUUUAUAAGGGAACAGCUCCAGACCUGCACUUUCAGUGGGCAUGGCGGGCCAUCGACGAGCAUGUGGCUUAAACCGUUCUGCUACCUCCUGCAGGUGUAGUGUCGAUGUUGCUGAACCUCAAAGCUAAAUCAUCUUCAGGACCAGACAACAUACCGAACACUUUUCUGCACAGGACCCAAAUGCUGGCAGCUCCACACCUUCGGCGAUGGUAGCAGCACACAGCACUUCGUUGGCUGCCUGAAUACAAGACCUCAAGCACCAAGUUCUCAGUAAAGUGGGUGAAGGGGACAUUUGCUCCAACUAACACAAACUGCGACUAUAACCCUCAAGCAGGAAGGUCAGCACCACAAGAGCCGAUGGUGUACUUUUCUCGGUACAUCACACUGACUCUCAUUGAAGAUAUUGCGAAAUUUACAAAUAUGUAUUAUCUCCCAAGCAGUGGAGUAGAGCUAGGAACAACAGCUGAAGGAAUCAAGGUGUUUCUAGGAAUUUUUAUGG